GAUAACAUUUUGUCAUCUGCCUUUCCAAAGUAAAUGGCUGUAUGUGGGCACCGAAAGAGGAAACAUUCACAUUGUCAAUGUGGAAUCAUUUACUCUCUCAGGCUAUGUCAUCAUGUGGAAUAAAGCCAUUGAACUGUCAUCCAAAUCUCACCCAGGACCUAUUGUCCACAUUAGUGACAAUCCAAUGGAUGAAGGAAAGCUUCUGAUUGGCUUUGAGUCUGGAACAGUGGUAUUAUGGGAUCUGAAGUCAAAGAAGGCAGAUUACAGAUACACACAUGAUGAGG